UACGAAGGGGGCUAGCGUUGCUCGGAAUCACUGGGCGUAAAGGGUGCGUAGGCGGGGCUUUAAGUCAGGGGUGAAAUCCUGGAGCUCAACUCCAGAACUGCCUUUGAUACUGAGGAUCUUGAGUUCGGGAGAGGUGAGUGGAAUUCCGAGUGUAGAGGUGAAAUUCGUAGAUAUUCGGAAGAACACCAGUGGCGAAGGCGACUCACUGGACACGUAUUGACGCUGAGGUGCGAAAGCGUGGGGAGCAAACAGG
rnacentral:rRNA from 1 species